rnacentral:rRNA from 1 species
GACGAACGCUGGCGGCGUGCUUAACACAUGCAAGUCGAACGGAAAGGCCCUGCUUUUGUGGGGUGCUCGAGUGGCGAACGGGUGAGUAACACGUGAGUAACCUGCCCUUGACUUUGGGAUAACUUCAGGAAACUGGGGCUAAUACCGGAUAGGAGCUCCUGCUGCAUGGUGGGGGUUGGAAAGUUUCGGCGGUUGGGGAUGGACUCGCGGCGUAUCAGCUUGUUGGUGGGGUAGUGGCUUACCAAGGCUUUGACGGGUAGCCGGCCUGAGAGGGUGACCGGCCACAUUGGGACUGAGAUACGGCCCAGACUCCGACGGGAGGCAGCAGUGGGGAAUAUUGCACAAUGGGCGGAAGCCUGAUGCAGCAACGCCGCGUGCGGGAUGACGGCCUUCGGGUUGUAAACCGCUUUCGCCUGUGACGAAGCGUGAGUGACGGUAAUGGGUAAAGAAGCACCGGCUAACUACGUG